rnacentral:rRNA from 1 species
GGUUCAAGACGAACGCUGGCGGCGUGCUUAACACAUGCAAGUCGAACGAGAAUCACUGGAAGGAGUUUCGGACAACGGAAGGUGAGGACAGUGGCGGACGGGUGAGUAACGCGUGAGGAACCUGCCUUUCAGAGGGGGACAACAGUUGGAAACGACUGCUAAUACCGCAUGACACGUAGAGAUCGCAUGGUCUUUACGUCAAAGAUUUAUCGCUGAAAGAUGGCCUCGCGUCUGAUUAGCUAGUUGGUGAGGUAACGGCCCACCAAGGCGACGAUCAGUAGCCGGACUGAGAGGUUGGCCGGCCACAUUGGGACUGAGAUACGGCCCAGACUCCUACGGGAGGCAGCAGUGGGGAAUAUUGGGCAAUGGGCCGCAAGCCUGACCCAGCAACGCCGCGUGAAGGAAGAAGGCUUUCGGGUUGUAAACUUCUUUUGUUGGGGACGAGUAGAAGACGGUACCCGACGAAUAAGCCACGGCUAACUACGUGCCAGCCGCCGC